CUUAGAAUCUGCCCAAUUAAAUAUUACAGAAGAAGAAUGUUACAGAGUUCUAGUAUUACAGUUACAAUACAUUCACAACACGCAUACAUUCCAUCUAUCUAAUACUAUCUGCUACAUUGUGUAUAAUAAUAUUGGCUACAUUGUGUAUGUGCUGUGCAUGUUAUGUGCAGCUUGUGUGUCUUACCAAACCUAAUCUAAUGUGAUGUCAGUAUCUUCUAUUUUUAAAGGAAUUGGUUCCCAUGUUGUAAAUAGCCAAUUCCUCAGCUCAAUUUGACAUGGAAAUGUGAUUUCCUUUCCCAAGGCCCAAAGUGUUGUCUAUCCUGUUAUUUUAUUUAAGUGUUAACUUUCCCAGCCAUCCCUUUGUCUCUAACCCAAUGUGUGUUUUCCUAUAUAGGGACUCCUUUGA